rnacentral:rRNA from 1 species
UACGUAGGGUGCAAGCGUUGUCCGGAAUUAUUGGGCGUAAAGAGCUCGUAGGCGGUUUGUCGCGUCUGCUGUGAAAACUCGGGGCUUAACCCCGGGCCUGCAGUGGGUACGGGCAGACUAGAGUGCGGUAGGGGAGACUGGAAUUCCUGGUGUAGCGGUGAAAUGCGUAGAUAUCUGGAGGAACACCGGUGGCGAAGGCGGCAUCCUGGACCGGCAUUGACGCUGAGGCGCGAAAGCCAGGGGAGCAAACGGA